UCUACCUCCCACUGCAUUGUUUUAUGCUAACGGAAGUGACAAUAGGCUAGUUAGCGACAUCUUGUGUCUCAAACGAAGCAAGUGUCCGAUAAAAGUAAACAUGGCCAUGGGUGAAUCUAUUAUUGUCAUGUUCUACACAGUCUUAUAGAUGGAGAAUCUUAAAAAAACAUCACAAACUGGUUGGAUCCAGAUGGGGUGUCUCUCUGCCAAACAGAAGAGAGUUUCCUGGAGCAAAAUGGUCGGCCCUCCUGAGCCAAUGGAUGCUGGGCCAACCACCGUGAGGUGCCAAGUCUCUCCAGCCAUUUCCUGUGUGUGACAUCAUUGUGUAUCCCCUAGCGGCAGCAUGAUGCGUGUCUUGUCUGCUCUCUGGGUGGCGUGUGCUAAGCAUUCCAUAAACAUGGGGUUCAGCGCUCUCUUUGUUGACUUUUGCCUCAGUAAAGUUACGUCAUGAUGAGAGGCAGACUCCAGACAUCAUAUCGGCUCCAGAUAGGACCUGUCUGGCUGGCGAAAGGGAGAGGAUACGAGCAAAGAUUAGAGAGGACACUUGAAAUAUAAGGCACAAAUCGCUUGGCCUCCCAUCAUAAAAACAAAGCAGCAGAACAGGAAAAAAAUCCACAUUUUGAAGAGCAAAGAAAACAAUCAAAGGGUUUGAACAACAUGAAAGGUUCCUGGUGCCACUGAGUCCCUCCAUACCAGGUCCAAAUCAUUACUCAGUAUGUCAUGCCAGACCACACACACACACACACACACAUACGCUAUGGUGUUUUGGUUUUUAGUAGUAAAGCGGCAGACCAUCUGUGGCACGGCAACAAAAAUUCCCUUAAACAAUGAAGGUGCCUAGUUAAGUUGCCAGUUAACCAUGUGUUUUAACCUGAGGGUUUAGUGAAGACAGAGUUAACAGCGACAUAAUCCUUCAGCAAAUCCAUAGCGUACCUUAAGCAUGCUAUUAAUCAAAGAGAAAUCCUCAAUGUUUAAUCGUUACAACUAUCAGUUUGAACUCAAGUUUUAUCCCACCGCUUUUGUGUAUUUGUUGGUUUGUGUUGACCGUCAGGGUCACUGUGAGUGCUACAGCUGCAUACACGGAUGAAUACGGGAUGUUGGGGUAACAUACAGAGGUUGGGGGAUGUGGACUCAGGGUGCAGUGCGAGCAGGGGAGGGGACGGAUGGCCCCAUGCCAAAAUCAACAGAGGAAGGGGACGGAUGCUCCUGCUGGCUCUGCAGUCCGUACUCGAGGGAAGCUCUGCUGUAACGUCCUCCCACCAGCGCUCUUUAACGUUCUCUUUGCAGCUGGGGAGAGAGAGAGGCGUCUCGCACUGGUUGUCUGAAGUAUUAAAAUUUGCGUGACCCUUACGUUUGGAAUGGCUAGAACUGCAGACAUGAGAAAACUUUUGGUUUUGUCAGCUUUAAGGCCGCUUGUUUCGCAGGCGAUAAAUUCUUUGGUGGUUUUUGUAAGCAGGAGAUCUCCAAAAAUGCGUGGGUGCAACAAUAAUAUCUCUCCUCAUGUCUGCGGCGUCACGAUUUUUCCAUUGUGCUAACCGUUCGAUUCACCUACAGGCGUAGUUCUCCCAGCGAGCCACUCCUGCCUGUCAGUACACUAUCACCGGCCCACCAAUCAAUGUUUUUUUUGGAACAAUGUGCAGGCAGCCACAGUUGCUUUAUUAUGCACUGGCAGACAUGUGCGGUGAAAACUCUCUUUAGCCCAAAGAAUAAUCUCAAUUCAUGAUAUUGGGACGAAUAUCGUGUUACCUCUCCGAGCUUCUGGCAGCUUGUUUGUUUAACUUUAAUGAAGUGACUCAACAGCAUGACUAGGAAGCUCGUCCAUCUCGGCGGCUGGUGUGAGACCAUCAGACAGAAAUACGAAGACAGACAGCGCAAGAAAAAUAGUUUGUGAGACAAACAAACAGAGUUGGAGGAAAUCAAACAGCUCAUGGAAGGGAGAGCGUGAGUGAGACAGGCAGCUUGAGAGAGAGAGAAAAAGUCUACAAGGAAAGAGGUGCAGAGUGAGCAGUGAGAACUUCAGCACCCUUCGGCCCUUCCCUGCAGGACACUGAAAGCUACACCUCUCCUGGGUGAUCUCCAGGCCACAGUUCCUGGAAACGCCACUUUGAACUCUACUCCAUAGAUGCCUUUUCCUAGCACAGGAGAUAUUUAGGGUCCGCUGAACAAAACGUGAAGUGAAUUUUAUUGAAGAAUGUUGUGCUACUUGUGCUACUGUCUUGGUAGAAAGCAUUGCUGUACAUACUGAAAAUUGUUUAAUGUCUUAAUGUCUAUAAAUAAAAUGUUUAAAAACGGUUUACACUUUACUUAAAAGGGAUAAUUCACCCAAAAAUCAAAUCUGUAUAAAUUACUUUGUUCUGAUGAACACGGAGAAUUUUUUUGGA